CAGCCGUAAACUAUGCGCGUUAGGUGUACUGGUGACCACGAGUCACCGGGGUGCCGAAGGGAAACCGUGAAACGUGCCGCCUGGGAAGUACGGUCGCAAGGCUGAAACUUAAAGGAAUUGGCGGGGGGAGGCACCACAACAGGUGGAGCCUGCGGUUUAAUUGGAUUCAACGCCGGACAUCUCACCGGAUAAGACAGCUGAAUGAUUGUCAAUCUGAAGGUUUUACAUGACUAGCUGAGAGGAGGUGCAUGGCGUCAGUGACU
rnacentral:rRNA from 1 species